UAAAGAAUUUCGGUAUGGGAUGGGGAUGCGUUCCAUUAGUUAGUUGGCGGGGUAACGGCCCACCAAGACAACGAUGGAUAGGGGUUCUGAGAGGAAGGUCCCCCACAUUGGAACUGAGACACGGUCCAAACUCCUACGGGAGGCAGCAGUGAGGAAUAUUGGUCAAUGGACGAGAGUCUGAACCAGCCAAGUAGCGUGAAGGAUGACUGCCCUAUGGGUUGUAAACUUCUUUUAUAUGGGAAUAAAACGUUCCACGUGUGGAAUUUUGUAUGUACCAUAUGAAUAAGGAUCGGCUAACUCCGUGCCAGCAGCCGCGGUAAUACGGAGGAUCCGAGCGUUAUCCGGAUUUAUUGGGUUUAAAGGGAGCGUAGGUGGAUUGUUAAGUCAGUUGUGAAAGUUUGCGGCUCAACCGUAAAAUUGCAGUUGAAACUGGCAGUCUUGAGUACAGUAGAGGUGGGCGGAAUUCGUGGUGUAGCGGUGAAAUGCUUAGAUAUCACGAAGAACUCCGAUUGCGAAGGCAGCUCACUGGACUGCAACUGACACUGAGGCUCGAAAGUGUGGGUAUCAAACAGGAUUAGAUACCCUGGUAGUCCACACAGUAAACGAUGAAUACUCGCUGUUUGCGAUAUACAGCAA
rnacentral:rRNA from 1 species